AUGAUUGUGAUUGGCGGUAUCAUUAGAGAUGUCCAUUUGACAAUGUAAAGAUCAGCAAACUCAUCAUCCACAUCAUCACCACCUGAUUUCGAUGUCAAGGUGAAAGAUAUUUCAAUUCCAGCAAUGACUUUCAGCAGCCCUUGAAGCACAGCAGCAAGGUGAGCACUAGUGCCUCCAAUCAGCCAAAACUGUUCAUUUCUCCACCACUCUUCUAAUUCAAUGCCGGACCAUUUAAUUUCAAGCAAAGCUAGUAUACUU
rnacentral:lncRNA from 1 species